CCUCCACCACUCCUACUUAUGUUGCAUGUUUGAUAAAUUUGUGCUCUAGCUAGUUACAAGAAUUCAUUCCGUCGGCUUAUGAUUUUGAUCCCUGUUGAGGAAAUCGAGAGAGCUGAAGAUGUAAGUGGUCCAGUACUUAAUUUCAUUCCAGGUUGAUAUGAUAGGGUAGCUGGCAAGCUUGGUUAGUAACAUAGUACAGUAGAUGUGUGAGAUUGCCACAUUGGUACACUGGUGAAUAGUGCUAUGGAAUUAUUGUCUAAUCCUCCGAGGUCAGUCAAGAGCUAACUGAUUCAAGAAAUAAGACAUGUCCUGGUUGGGUUCAGACAACAUAUGGAUGAGCUAGUUUCUCAAGGAAUGUCAGUUGAGCUGAUGCCAAGACAUUCAUCAGGUGGAUCACUGGAGCACUGUAAACUCUAAUCAGCACAAUACCAACUA